UACGUAGGGGGCUAGCGUUGUCCGGAUUUAUUGGGCGUAAAGAGCGUGUAGGCGGCCAGGUAGGUCUGCUGUGAAAACUCGAGGCUCAACCUCGAGACGUCGGCGGAAACCAUCUGGCUAGAGUCCGGAAGAGGAGAGUGGAACUCCUGGUGUAGCGGUGAAAUGCGCAGAUAUCAGGAAGAACACCCGUGGCGAAGGCGGCUCUCUGGGACGGUACUGACGCUGAGACGCGAAAGCGUGGGGAGCGAACAGG
rnacentral:rRNA from 1 species